rnacentral:scRNA from 1 species
GCCGCCCAGCUCGGGCAGGCCGAGGAGGCCGU